rnacentral:rRNA from 1 species
UGGGGAAUUUUUCGCAAUGGGCGCAAGCCUGACGAAGCAACGCCGCGUGGAGGAUGAAGGCCCUCGCGGUCGUAAACUCCUGUCUAGCGGGACGAAAGUUUGUAGGGUGAAUAAUCCUGCGAAUUGACUGUACCGCUGGAGGAAGCUCCGGCUAACUCCGUGCCAGCAGCCGCGGUAAUACGGAGGGAGCAAGCGUUACUCGGAAUUAUUGGGCGUAAAGGGCGCGUAGGCGAUUGGGCAAGUCUCCUGUGAAAGCCCCCGGCUUAACCGGGGAAGUGCAGAAGAUACUGCUUGAUUUGAGUUCCGGAGAGGAAGGCAGAAUUCCCGGUGUAGCGGUGAAAUGCGUAGAGAUCGGGAGGAAUACCAGUGGCGAAGGCGGCCUUCUGGACGGAUACUGACGCUGAGGCGCGAAAGCUAGGGGAGCAAACGG